UCCGCCCCGCGCCUCCCCCGCGCCCAGCUUCUCCCGCCUCGCCGCCGCCUCCUCUCCUCCCACCCACAUCGACGCCGCCGUCACCCACCGACUCGAACCGCGCCGUCGGCGGCCAGAUCCGCCGCAACAGAGCCCCCCCCCCCCCCAACAACGACGAGCAGCAGAGGAGGGAGGACGAGGAGCACGACGGUGGGGAGCAGCAUCAGCAGGCUAAGGCGGCGUAGGAACAGUCCUUGGGCGAUGCCGACGAGCGGAGGGAGGACGAGGAGCAUGACAGCGGCGGCUACGGGGAGCGGUGUACGUCGGUGCCAAGGCUGUGCUGGAGCGGCUCGACGCGCCGGCUACGUGCGCCAAGGAGACGGCUGCUACCAGGGUUAGGGUUUCGGUUGUUGGCUCCAACACCGGUGGCAAUAUCUGGUGAUUUCAUCCUCUCCCCUCCUUCAUCCUCAUCUCUCUCUCUCUCUAACCACUCCUCCUCCCAUCGUCUUGGCUUGCAUGUUGCCGUCGUCGUGGAGCUGGAAAACAUCAUGGUGUCCCCAAAUUUUUAGACUGCUGCUCCUGUGUUCGUGGCGUCCCGGAGAAGCAAGGAGUGUUUCUGCUACUCCCUGCACUGGUGCUGCUGUGUGAAUGAGAGGAGAAGAGGUCACCUGCCUCUCCGUCUUAUUCUUCUACUACGUCCUAGGGAACUGGCAAAAGAUUCAUGUGGUUUUCAAUACUACUUUGGAAUCAUUAUGUACAAACCAGACAUGGAACCUGAAGAACUAUUUGAGACAAUCUCACAAGCACUGUUGUCUUUUGUUAAUCGUGAUUGCCUGAGUGGUUGGGGAGGUUAUGUUCUUAUUGUUGUAGCAAAUGGGUGAGUGCCGGUGGCAGCGCGUUGCGAACAUGUCAAUGGCGGCUGUUGAAGCUUGACUUCAGCUACAAGUACAGGUGGUCGUUGGCACGGACAUGUCGUCCCUGAGCUUUAGUUCCAGGCGAGAUUCAGUUUCUUCAUGGACGAAGAAUUUAUGGUUGAUGACAUCACUCUGGGAGCAAUUAUCAUGCACACGACCAGCGAGUGGUGGCAGAAGCAACUUCUCUCUUGGCCUACAUGACAAGCGCUUUUUUAUCUUAGCUCUAUGGCUGGCUUUGGCCCCAAUAACUUCCAAAUGAUGUGUCAUACCACUAGCUACUAUACCGGAGUUGAGGCCACCGUCGACGUGGUGCUCGCCGACUACCAAGUCCACCACCCACCGACGCGGAAGGACACCGUGAACCCGUAGGUA